GAUGAAGAACGUAGCGAAAUGCGAUAAGUAGUGUGAAUUGCAGAAUUCAGUGAAUCAUCGAAUCUUUGAACGCACAUUGCGCCCUUUGGCAUUCCGAAGGGCAUGCCUGUUCGAGCGUCAUUUAUCAACCCUCAAGCCCGGCUUGCGGUUGGGUCCCGCCGUGGGCGACCACGGCGGACCCGAAAGGUAAUGGCGGUGCCCGUGGGGCCCUGGACGCAGCGAGCUUCUCGGCACGCGUCCCGGCGGUCCCCGGCGCCGUCUCCACCAAUCCACCACGCAGAUUGACCUCGGAUCAGGUAGGGAUACCCGCUGAACUUAAGCAUAUCAAUAAGCGGAGGA
rnacentral:misc_RNA from 1 species